UUUAUAAUAAUCAAUAACAAUGGUCGGUAGGUGGCGUGAUCACCGAGAAGACGGGUUAUCCGGGUUUUAGGUCGGGCGAAUUAUUCAAUUUUUUUCACACGGCACCUCGAAAGACGCGCAUCUCCUGCCCCGUGGUACUGUACUUGAAAAAUUGAUCGACAUUCUCAUCAUUUCACCCGCUAAAAGAAGGACCUUUAGGAAUAUAGAUGGGUUUUUUUUGUAGAUUCAUAGAUUACUUUGGCAAAAUUUAGGCGCAUCAUGACUCAUACAACUCCAUUCAUAAUCGUUUGUCCGCCAGCAAUAAUUUAUCGUCGCGUACAGUGUACAUGCUAAAUUGCUCUGUAAACGUUAACUUUUUAUUACCCGCUAUUACCGACUUACAGCGGCCGGUGACCUAUGCACCCGUGGCAGUAUUGACUUUUUUAACAACGGUAAUAAUACUGAUACAUCAGUCAUCGCAAUAUUAAAGUAAAUGAUAAGGCGUUGCGCCUCAAAAUUAAAUGGUCGCUGUGCGGUUCCAACCAAAAGCGUUCGUGUGUUUAAGCUAGACGUGUAAGCCCUUUUACCGGGCGAAUUUUACCGAUGUCUUUUACCGUACUUCUACCGACCCCCUUUCUCCCCUCGUUUAACGGUUUUACAAGUUUGUUGACAUUUAUUUCGAUACUUUUGUAACUUACGUACACGGCAAUAAGUGAAUUUCGUGAAAAUUUGAUUUUCGUCAUCAUAAUUGUUUACGAUCAAACUUAGCUUAAAAUGUUAGUGAGUUUUUAUUUCCGUUAUUUUUUUGGUAGUUGCAAUAUGUUUCUAACGUAUUAAAAUCUGAAACUUUCUUACUAUUAUCGGUUGCAGUCUACAAAUAGUAUUUUGUUGUUUAUUAUGUAGUUU